rnacentral:rRNA from 1 species
CGAGGAAUCUUGGGCAAUGGGCGCAAGCCUGACCCAGCGACGCCGCGUGGGGGAAGAAGGCCUUCGGGUCGUAAACCCCUUUUGCCGGGGAAGAAGUCCUGACGGUACCCGGCGAAUAAGCCACGGCUAACUACGUGCCAGCAGCCGCGGUAAGACGUAGGUGGCGAGCGUUACCCGGAUUUACUGGGCGUAAAGGGCGUGUAGGCGGUCCGGUAAGUCCAGCGUGAA